UAAAAUGUAUCUUAAAGAAACACGAGAAUGUGUACUGGAUUAAUCUGGCGCACGAUACGGACCAGUGGGAGGUUCUUUUGAACGCGAUAAACAAUAUUCAGCUCCAUGAAAGUAUCCAGGUCCCAACCUUAUGGUGUUAACAACCAUGUCUACUGGAUAUCAUGACACCAAAGUAGAGGAACAGAGGAAGAAGACGUGGAUCUGUGGAUACUCCACGAAUCCUGCAACACACAUGAAGACUGACAUCCUUCUACCUACAAGGUGAAAGGAUAAUCUGGCCAAAUGACCACUGGAUCUUCAGCUUCAUUAUGAGUUCUAAAUUAUUAGCAAUUUAUUCAAGAGAUUCUUCAGGAAAUUAAUUUUCAUCCCCUGAACCAUCAUCAGAAGGAACACUGAAUGCAUAUUUUUGCAUAUUGCAAUCACUUUCUUUCUAAAAUGAGUCUUUUAAAAUAACUCAUACCAUACAGACAGAACCUGUUUGCAAAAACACUGAAUAUGAGUAAAUUAUUACA